CCACCUGUGGCAAAGAUUAGCAGGGACUACAAGGUUGUUGUCGGAUGCUCAGGAAUGCAGCGGGAGUUCGCCUGUUCUCGGCUUCCUGUUCGGAGUUGUAUAGUGCCACCCCUGUCGACUCCACCAGCAGCGGGAUCCAGGUCCCCCCUGACCUCUUCCUUUGUACUUGGUUGACAAAAACCACUAAGCAAUCCUCAUAGUUCAAAAGUGCUUCAGGUCCAACUCCAGGAUAUUUGAUUCAGUACUCAGUUUCAGUUCCAAGUUUCAGUGCUUCAGAAAUAUUGGUUUUGGUAAUCAGCUUGCCGAGAUGGUACCUGGACAUAAUUUACUUGCGUGCUAUAGCGUGUAGAAAAUUGUCUAGUUAAAUUGAUCAGUGUACAAUCUCUCGCUAAUAGCAUAUUUUCAGAGGCCACGCUAUUUUGUAUAGCACGCUAUUCAUUAGAUCUAUCUACUCCUGUAUUUUCAGUCAAAAAAUACACUAUAUGUUACUAUGCUAUAUUUCCUAAGUUAUGUAUAGAACCUCUGCCUAUAUACUUGGAUCACCGGAUUGUUCAAUUCUUUUUAUGCAACAAAACUAUAGAAUUACUACUUAUCAUUGCAGUGUCGUGUUCUGUGUAUACCAAUAUCUCUACCACUAUAAUACACCAUUCUUGAAAUUGGAUUCACCACCCACUUGCUUUUUAGUCUGCUUCGGUACUGAUCACCUCGACUAAUGAACUAAUAGCCAAGAUACAGUGCAGAGAGUAAACUUGCUGGGUGAUACAUGAGAGCAUUUAUAUAAUGGUCGGUUCUAUCAAGUUUUUUACCAAUUUAUACUGAAUUAAACUUCUUGAUAUGGCGACAGGGUCUCCAGUGUACAUGAUUAUCGAUUAAAUUUGUAUAUAAACUUCUUCCAAUUUGUUCAAUUGUAAGCCUAGUGAUGUAACAAUGAACGUUGAUUGUAUUGUUCUGCUCUUGGUUAGUACAAGAAAUGCUUGAGUUGUCAAUCAGGAAGAACUUCAAUUCUUCAAGCAAGAACUCUAUACUGGGCUUUCAAAUAAGUUGGACUGUAGAUAAUGUCCAGAUUUGUGACCAUUGAUGCUUGUGCUUUCUUCUUCAUCUUCUGGUGAGGAAGAAGGGAAAAUGCUGGAGCCAAUAGUUGUUUAGUGGGACUAUGUUCUGAAUUGACAAAGCUAAAGGAAGCACAUGCCAUCUAUCUCUCAUAUUGGUUAUUUGGAUGGUGAGAAAUCACCAUGCCUAGCUAUUGAGAUUAGCUUGUUCUGAUAAAAAAAAUCAAUGCAAGGAAGGAAACAGAAUAUGGGCAUUGCAACUAUAGAAUGGUGAUUAGAUAUUCUUGAUGGAGAGGCAUAGAUUUCUAAUGUCGGUCUUUGAUAGAGUUCACAUAUGGCUGCAGUUUUUGCGACUACGGAAUUGUGAUUGGAUAUUCUCGAGUAUUCAGUUCUUCGGUACUGUUAAUCGAACAUACACUGGAAGUCAAAUUUCCAGGUAAAUCUGAUCAAGACUACUAGAUGAUUUUGCUAAAAAAAAGACUACUAGAUGAUCCAAAUGGAGGAUUAUUUCACUUUCAGACCCACUUUGUAAUUGUACAUCAUUGUCUUACCACAGAAGUUUAGAUGGACAUAGUAUCCAGGAUACCAACUAUUUGGAACUCCUCUCUACAAAAAAGGCUUAAGGGGAUUGGUAACUGGAGUUCAGAGCAUAAAAGUAUUCUAAUUGCCAUGCCUACAGUAUUGUCUACACAGAUUUGAGAGAGGAAUAGAUGGAUAGAUGAGCAAUGGACCAUUAAAGUUGCUUUCCAUGGUUCUCUUCGGGACCAUUGCAAAAGGUGGUUUUGUUUGGAUAAAGGUCAUCAAGCUAAGGUAAGCUCUCCAUAGACUGGAACAUUAUCAUGUCCAUGCCGGCGAGGAAACCAUGUGACCUUCUCAUCCCAAUGUCUUUCCCUCCUUAUCCCUUUCUCCUAUCGCAGUUCCCUCUCAAUGCGUUAGUUUUUUCGUCGUCGCUAGGUUCCCAUGGCACUCUGCCACACUCGCUUCAGUAGUUCGUUGAUUAAGAAGUACGAGUGGGUGGCCAGCUGCAAUGUCUAGAUGGAAGACCUUCCCUGUUCAGAUUUAUUUUGGGUUCUUGAUUCCUUUUUCUCAAUGGUUAUAUGUAAUUAGUACAACAUUAGGAAAAAAAAGUAUACCAUGUUUGUGGCUGGAUGCAUUGAGUUGUUGGAAUUGUUUGUUAGAAGUGCAUUCUUGAUUGCCUUACCAAUGGUCCAAAAGAAAUGCACAACCGGUGAAAUUGACCGUGGUUUUAAUGUACUUUUGUUACAAUAGUUUUUUUAGGAGCAAAGGACAGUGGGAGAGAUCUCCCACUGACUUGUAACUAUAAAAAGAAGGACGUCUGUUACAUUUACAAUACACUAGAGUAUAUUUCAUUAUUUCCCAGUUUGGACAUACUUUUUCUAUUGGUUUGCUUCUCAUAAAUAUUAUCAUGCAUGUCUCAGCUGGUGAUUCUGUGAUAGUGGUGUGCUCUCAUAAAUAUUAUGUGUUUCCAGGAAGAUGAAUCCUUUUCGAAUAGGGACCAGGUUGGUUACUUCUUCUGUAAUUAUAUGUUUCAGUGAUAGCUGCUUGAUUAAAUGGUUCCAUCUGUUUCUUAUUCUUCUCAUCCAACGUAGAUAAAUAGAUUAUAUGCUUUUGUGCCGAAUCACGUGGAAGGUCGAGAUGACCGCACAUACGUAUUUUUUUAUGUUUAUUACCGCAUGGAUGCCUACUGACCCUAAAUAUAUUUGGUUAAAAUGUUUUCCUAUGAAGUUUCUAUACUAUAUAAGAAAGUUGGUCUCAACUAUUUGAGGUCAUAUUCUAUUUUAAGGAUUACUCAUACAGUUUCAUAGCUGAUUCAGUUGCAUUAGUUGAGAACAAGUGUUUGUAUCAAUCUUGUUUUUCAGGUUACUUGUAUUGCAUAUUGAUGGAUUUCUUGCAAGCUUGUACGCCAGAUUUUAUUUCAACUGUAUGUAUUCUUUUCUUUGACAAGAGGGUAUGUAUUCUGGACAAAUUCUGUUAGAUUAAAUGGUUGGUCCGAUCCAUGUGUAAUCAUGUAUUAUUUGGGAUGAGACUUGUAUUUUUAGUCAGUAUAAUUUUAUAAUGGAUUGAACAUAUUCCUGUAAUUUUGAACUGUGAAACACAUAGAAGUUAGUUAAUUUUGGUAGUAUUUGUGGCUUGUUGUGCUCACCCCAGAGGCAUCGCAGAAGCUUGCCCAUAUUUCUGAACUGAUGUCAUCCUUGCUAUGACAAUUCUUGAUCUUGGGCCACAUCAGAUUCAUAUGUUUUGUGAAUCGGUAUGUUGAAUAAAUCGAGUCGCUCAGGACGGCCACAUGAUUCAAGCUGAAUCUGAUAUCAUUUGUGCCUCCGUGCUCACUUUUCAGGUGGGUCAUAUAACUGAAAAUCUAAUAAUACCAAGAGUCUAAGAAAGACGAAUACCUGAAGAGAUUGAUGAGCCUUCCUAAUCAGGUUCCCUUCUAGCAUGCAUUUUUACCUUCUUUAUCAUUUCUCUUAAGGAUAGUCUUUACAAGGUUAUCUUGUGAUCAGUUUGAUUUGAAAAAAAUGGGCUGAAAUAAUUGGACAGGCGGGCCAAAGCAUUGAUAUCCUGAAGAAGCACAAUGUUAUCAGAUCUCUUCUUAACAUUUUGCAGCAGCGGUGAGGUGGGGUCGCCGGUGACGACGAGGAAGGCUGGCGGUGAGGUGGGGGUCGCCGGUGACGACGAGGAAGGCCGGCGGCGAGGUGGGGGUCGCUGAUGACUACGAGGAAGUCCGGAGCGCUGAUUCCCUGGCGGAUCCAUGGAGUUUGCGGCUCCUAGGCUGAAAGGAAGGGAGGUGAGGGAGAGAAGGAGGGAGUAAGGAGGGGUGGGUAGUGCAGCGACCUAGGCAGGAGCUCGCUGGAGCCGGGCGAUGGCGGACGGGCGCGGGAGACGGAGGGAUCCGGUGCAGCGGCGCGAAGUCCUUGCAGGUGGCGCACCUCGGCUUUCAUCAAGGCCGCCGCCGCCGCCUGCCUGAGGCAGAGGAGGAUCUCCUGGUGGUGCGCCCACUGCUGAUGGUGCUCGGCGAGGACAGGAACUGGUAGGGGCUGAGCAGGACUGAUGGUAUACUCCAGGUUUUUGGUCCGUCGCCAACUCUAUGUUUAGGGUCGUGGUUCUAAUCCCUCUCUUGCCACUCGACUGUGCUUUAGGGGACUUCCGCUGUUUUGAUUUAGCUUGCUUAAGGAAUUCAAGUACGGACGUGGAGCAGCAGAUGGAUACAUGUUAGCCAACACAAAAAUUGCACACGGCAAGUCUGAGAUCUUCCACUUGCUACUCACUCUUGUCAAGACAUUAGGUGGUUAUAAGACUGUCAUAGGUGAAGUGUUGGGGAAGUAUAACAAGGCUCAGGUGCAUUAGGUUCUUCCAAUUCCUUCUGCAUAUGCCAAAGUACUUCAGUCGGUUGCCCAAAAUAAGCAAGUCUACCUUAAGGCAUGAAUUUGUUAUACUUCAGGUGGCACCAAAAGUUCCCUCACAAACUUUCACUAUUUUCAUUGCAGCAAGGCCAUUGUCCAUCUCCAGAGAAGCGCAAGACCUAUAGCCCACUAGAUAAGGCUAUUGAGGGGCCAUCUAAAAUAGAUAGCUGCUUAUGGGUUGUUGUGUUUUUUUGUACAUCUUACAAUUGUUAAUGCAUUUUUUGGUUGAUGCACAUCUAAUUUUAGUGGUAUAGAUUUUGUACACGUUGCAGUGCACAUGCUAAUGUGGGUUCUGAUUUUUGUGCAGAUUAAGUGAUCAGUGUCAGGCGCUAUUGUGUGUUUGACAACAACACUACUGAUGUGGCACAAUCUGCCGGGAUGAAGCGGCAGAUGCCAUCGCAAGUGUUUGCACAUGAUGCAGCAAUAGACAAAGCAUAUCAAGAUGCACUGUCCUAGGCUCCUAGCUGUUGAAAGGUUCAUGCAGCUCCAAGUGUUCUUGACCCAUGAAGUAGCAGACUAGCAGCCACAUACAUAUGUUUACUCUGCAUGGAGAUUCAGUAUGCAUAUAUCAAGAACAUAUAUCAGUCCACAGAAUAGGGGCGGAUCUGACAAUGUUAUUCCCGUUUUCUGGCAACAAUCAGAGGGACUGCUAAGCUCUUCGGCAUAUCCGCAGUCAAUCUGGUAGCAAAAGCAGUUGCAAAGGAAAGUUGACUACACUGACAAAAAAUAUGUUUUGCUUUAUUCUAUUCAGAACUAUACUACAUUAUAUCUUUAGACUGGGACACCGAUGUAUAGACCAUCAUUUUUUAGUACUUUGAAGAGGUUCAUGGCAAAAGAUAAAGUUUGAGAUGUACAUGGCAUAACUCUCACCUUUGAGGUUCUUCAGGACAGGUUCAAGAUUACAUUCAAGGAGAGAAUGUAGCCAUGGUGACACAAAUAAAGUGUAGCAACUGCCACCAUUGCAGGAGAGGAGUAGUCGGGGCCUAUCAUACCAUGUAACGACGUAAGUCAGUGAACUGAUCUUUGUAGAGUUGCUACGAAAUUCAUGUUAAUUUCCUGCGAAUGAAUAAGUUCCUGAUUUUUUUUCUAUGAAUUUCUAUUCCCGUUGUCUAGACUUAGCAAUGUAGACAUAUCUAAUUUUAUUGUGGAAAGCACCACAGCUUUUGCCUUGAACAAAACAAGGUCUUUGGGUGAGACUGUAAGCACCUAAAACAUUGCUUGAUUCCUUUGAGUUUCCAGUUAUCCUCUAUUUCCUUUAUCUGUAACUCAUAUAGAUAUUAUGCUGAGAAGUAGGCUAUUACAGUACAGGUGGACAAUUUUUUGACAUGACAUAUUCUUUGUCUGGACAGCAAAAUUAUUUUCACAUGAGAACCUCACACAAAAUCGUUGUUUAAAUCAUUGUUGGAUGUUUCAUUCUUUGAUUAUUUUGUUACAUUCAAACUAAGAAUAAUGCAAGAAAAAAAUCCUUCAUUGUUCUAGAGAGGUGGAGGCUCUGAGCUGCAUAUUCUGAUAACAUAACUCUCAAUUCACUAAUGGGAUUACGCCAAAUACACAAUAAGACCAAACACUGUUUCUAUGAAUUAGCAUCAAGUUGCCAGGAGCAGUGAAGCGCCAAUAAUGGUUAACUAUGGUGCUUGAGGGGAUGGAUAUGCAUAGUUGUAGGUUGCAGAUAUACGGCUGGAGCAAUAUGUAAGUACUAUUACAGAAUUACUUUAGCUUAUGUUGAGUGUUUAUAUUAGCUAAAUGGCUGUGCUUCAUGUUCUAGGAUCGCAUGCCCUUUAUGCUCAGAGUACGGUCUGAUUAUGAACAAGAUAAUAAAAAGUUUGUUACUUCUAACUAGACAUUUUGUUAAUUUCCAGUUGAAGGCUUCCACGCGCCACCUCCUUCUCCCCCUCCUGUGCCGAGUCGAGAACGGAGCAGCGACAAAGCAGAGGUAGACAUGGACACGUGGUAGGAGCCAAGGGGGGAACGGGGAAAGGCGGACGCUAGCUCUGGAAUCAGCUGUGUCAGCCGCUGCCAGUGCCACCGUGUCCCGCCGCAGCCUAGCCUGGUCGCAACAAAAGUAUGGCUGCAGGUGUAGUUCAUUCAGUUUUGCAGUUCGAUUUACUUGCUUGUGCAUAUGUGCGUGUAUACUGAGAGAGAGGGAGAGAUUAUUCUGUUCUAGCAGUCGUAUUUAUGUGACAAAUCUGCUCCCCUCCACUCUUUUUUGAUUUGCCUGAAAUCUGAAUGUGAAAAGCAGUUGCAAGUUGAGAGCAGCAGAGUAAACGUUCAAAAGUUCAGAGUGCAUGUUUUUGAGAUU